rnacentral:rRNA from 1 species
UACAGAGGGUGCAAGCGUUAAUCGGAAUUACUGGGCGUAAAGCGUGCGCAGGCGGUUUUGUAAGUUUGUCGUGAAAGCCCCGGGCUCAACCUGGGAAUUGCGAUGAAGACUGCAAGGCUUGAAUCUGGCAGAGGGGGGUAGAAUUCCACGUGUAGCAGUGAAAUGCGUAGAGAUGUGGAGGAACACCGAUGGCGAAGGCAGCCCCCUGGGUCAAGAUUGACGCUCAUGCACGAAAGCGUGGGGAGCAAACAGGG